UGGGGCCGCGCUCUCCCCUCCCGCCCCGAGCCAAGCUCCUUAAAGUCCAGUAGCCUCCCUCGCCCCCGGGAGCCCACGACGGGCUGCCACACCAGGCGGACGCAGGGCGUGCGCACUUCCACGCGCAGCACAGGCACGAGGCCGGCGGGGGUGGAACGGAGGCGCGCGGCGCGCACCGCACGCACCGCAGGCACCGCACGCACCGCAGGCACCGCACGCACCGCAGGCACCGCAGGCACCGCGCACCCCGGCCGCGUCCCCGCCCGCGCUCCCCCCGCGCCCGAGCCUUCCGCCCGCGAACCUCACCGCGCAGCCGGGUAACUUUCCAGAUGUGUGGGACUUGGGGAGAGGAAAGUUCAGGGACGUGUUCCUUUCCCUCCCCUCCAGACUGUUUCCCCUGCAAGCUCGCUGCCACCUCGCCCGCCCUCCCAGAACGCAAACAGGGGCACACAUCCUGGACGUGCUCGCCUCGCCUCGGUCACGCCGAUGCCCUUCCAGGAGACAUGUGACCCCGGAGGAGCUUGGAGACGCGCUCCUCCCGGACUCUGGAGCCCUAACUUCAUCCAGUUUGCCGAUUCUCAUGAUGCCGGGGGCAGUGGCUUCAAGGGACAGAGCUGAUACCUUCGGGAAUCUGUAGUCCUUUAGCAGGAAGCUUUCUUGAUCAACCGCUGGUACUGCUGUCCCAGUCGCCUUUUUGAUUACAUGUUUUGUUUUGUGGGGUUCCCCGCCCCCCCCAGGCUUGCAUUACGGUUUUCUAAAUAUAUAUAUAUAUAUGUACCCCCACCGCAUUAUUUGCCGUGCUCUGGAGUUGUGAGAUCUUCGUGUGGCUUUUCCCCUUUCCUUCUGCCCCCAGAGGAAUUUCACUGGCAAAUCCACCACAGACAAGGGCAGUUUCUGUGUUGAGGAAUGGGAAGUACAGCGAGGUUGUAUUUUUCACUGUGCCACUAGAGAAUGUCGGAACCCUACUCUCUUGGGGUUUAAAUAAGCCACAUGGUGGCAAUGGGACUCGUGUAACACUGGUCUGCUCUAGUACAUACAUAAACUUAUAUAGAAACGAGGCCCACGUAAAAUAUGUUGAAUGGGGCCAUUACAUUUUAGAGAAGGAAGAAUGUAGUCCUGUUUGGUUUUUUGUGCUAACUGAAAAGAAAAAUAAGCAAAAGUACAAAGUACUUUUUCAUGAGCAUAUGUGAGAGUCUUUCCAUUUUAUGCAGGCCUCAAAACAGCCCAACUAGAAGAGAUGGUCUUGGGAAGAAUUCCACAGGAAAAGGAAAAAUAAUUAAGUCACUUUUAAGUCACUGUAAUAAUGAACUAAGUCCAUAGAAUGGAUUUUGACGAACAGUUUAACAGUAAGAAGGAAAUCAGACUUUCAAAGUUCUUAUAUUCAUUUAGUCCAUUGGGGGUGGGGGGAGGAGAAUGAAUUGCUAAUUAAUGGGUUCACAUUUUUCUAAUGAAAUGGAAUAAAAAUAUCAGAGUACAUCAUGCAUAGUAACAAUAAAUACGCUCUGUAUAUCUUUCGCUUCAGUUAAA